UGGCCUGUGGUGAUGGCGAAUAAACAGUUUUCCGGUAACAGUAUGUUGUUUCUCCACUAUUGGCACAUUUAGCAGUGAGUACACAAGAUUAAUUGACAGCUCUAAGCCCCUCCUCCUGGCUC